UGCCGCCCCUGUUGUUACGAGUGAUAAAUUUGGCUCAUAUUUAUGCCCUUAGAAUCAAUCAGAAUGUGAUUAAAUGAAUCUUAUUCCCCAUGAUUUUGUGCUUGGGAGUUUUAUGUUUUUUUUUUUUUAGCUAAAUUUUUGUUUGUAUAUAAAUAUGCAAAAAACAAAGGAUAUUACAAUGAAAUCUGAACAUAUCCUUCUUCUCCCGAGAAGGUUAAAACACCUCGAUAAGACUAGGGGAACCAGGUUCCUAACUUAAUUUAAUACUGCCUUACAACCUGAAGCUAGAAAAAGAAACCACUAAAUAGACACUAACUAAAAGAUAAUGACAUAUUUAGCUAUAACAAUAAGGACUAGAGUGCUGCAAUUGACAGCCCACAAGAGGCUACAUAAUCUUUUAAAAUCCAAGCACCAGCCCUCAUAAACUCCGCGGGUCCCGCAUGGCAUAGCUUUAAAAAAGUCACCAUGCCCACGUGGGCCCCACCUGCAGAAACACCAACCAGAAAAAGCCGGAGAACUCCAUCCCAACCCAGCAGCUGGAACAAUCCGGCAGCAAAGAAUCAGGAAAUCAAAAGAGAACACAACCAAACCAAGCAAAUAAAUUUAGCAUUAACAACUAAGCUAAGAUUGGAAGUAAACAAGGAACCAUCCUUCGGUACCAGAACCAAAGAUGUUCCCACUGAGAAGUUCAGAUCUAAACAUUGAAGAGAUAUGAGUGAAAUGCAAAUAUUCAGAUCAGAAAACAACCAGAUAACCCAAAGUCUGGCCUCAAAACCAUCCAAUCUGAAAGAAUGAAAUAUGCAAUAAAUUAAUCUAAACAGAUUGGAAACCCCUUAAACACCAAAUCAGUCCAACAGGUAGUAGAGCAACAAGCUUCAAGCAACUGAUAUGGUCAAAAGACAAGAAAGCACAGCACCACCAAAGGCGCCAACCACCUCCAAACUCUGCGAAACACCAGAUGGCUCCCAACUCCAACCAGAUCAGAUCCGAACGCUCCAAGGGAGAGAAGGGGUGGGCCGCGAGAAGGAGGGGAUAUGAGUGCAAAGGAAGAGUGGUCAGAAGAAUGGUGGAGGACCGAGCAGACCCAACAUCCAAAAACCACCCCAACACACCAACAAGAUCCGAAAGCCUUUUAAUCCCAAGUCACCCCACUGCAGAUCAAAACUCCUUAAACCAAACCUCAUUUCCCCUUACUAGUCUGAACAGAUAAGCCCCCACGAUCACAUGCCCCGGACUUUGCAAAUGGACCGAUAGAAAGAUUUUCGGGAAGGUUCAAUUUGGUUGCCGGAAGAACAAAUCGAACCAAGAAAUAGGAAGAAGGAGAGAUGGUGGGCCGAAGAGGAGGAGAAGGGAGGGAGACGGGUGGGCCUGAUGGAAGAGGGCGGGAGAAGGAGGCAGGUGAAAAAGGAGGGGGG
rnacentral:lncRNA from 1 species